UACAUCGUGAGGUGCAAGCGAGAAGAAGGGAUAGCGAAAUCGUAGCCUGACGAACAGAAAUCUGAUAUAAGGCACACAUGGCGGAUAAGCUGGCGCGAGACAGUGAAGUCCGAAAGGCAACCGUAACCCAUGUGUGUAAAUCAGGCAGGUAGACGAGGAAAGAUUGGCAG
rfam:Ruminococcus sp. DSM 100440 contig00019, whole genome shotgun sequence.